AAACAAGGAAAACGUAGAAGAAAAUAAGCACAGGUUCGGUCAUGAAAAUAGAGCAAAGAUUGGCACAGAACAAAUCCAAACCAGAUUAUCAUUCAUUAACAAAGGCUUCCAGCAUCAUAAUGAAGAAAUCAGACAGGAGACACUCCGUAC